GAUGAACGCUGGCGGCGUGCCUAAUACAUGCAAGUCGAGCGAACAGACGAGGAGCUUGCUCCUCUGACGUUAGCGGCGGACGGGUGAGUAACACGUGGAUAACCUACCUAUAAUACUGGGAUAACUUCGGGAAACCGGAUCUAAUACCAGAUAAUAUAUUGAACCGCAUGGUUCAAUAGUGCAACACGGUUUUGCUGUCACUUAUAGAUGGAUCCGCGCCGCAUUAGCUAGUUGGUAAGGUAACGGCUUACCAAGGCAACGAUGCGUAGCCGACCUGAGAGGAUGAUCGGCCACACUGGAACUGAGACACGGUCCAGACUCCUACGGGAGGCAGCAGUAGGGAAUCUUCCGCAAUGGGCGAAAGCCUGACGGAGCAACGCCGCGUGAGUGAUGAAGGUCUUCGGAUCGUAAAACUCUGUUAUUAGGGAAGAACAAAUGUGUAAGUAACUAUGCACGUCUUGACGGUACCUAAUCAGAAAGCCACGGCUAACUACGUG
rnacentral:rRNA from 1 species